UGGUUAGCCAAGGUGUGAAUGCAAAGG
rnacentral:piRNA from 1 species